CCCGCACCUAUUUUUUUCAAAACAGAUUUUUUUUCUUUUCUUUAUAUUCCCGCUUCCCGCAUCCGGAAAAGUAAUCGUGUCCAUUUCCCACACCGUUUUUUGUAAAUAUUAUAAAAAAGAUAUUUACACUUGUUUUUACAAUCACAGUCUUACCUGUAUAUAACGAUUUUAAACAUGUAAGCACCCCAUUACGCUGUGUAAAUAUUUGAAAUAAUAUUUGAUUCAGCAUGAUACACAUUUAUCCCAAGCGGGAGUGCUCCGUAUAAAUAUAUAACAGAGGACAAUACCAGUACAGAACAAAACAUUGGUUUCCUUCCCCCUUACUUAUAUUCCCUAUCAAGAAAUGUUCGUUGUUAGAAUAAACUUCGGAAAAAAAUGCCUUCAACUGCAAUUAUAUUGUAUGCUGGCAAUACAAAACUAAUCCAUACCCGCUGCAUGUUUAUGCACCUGUCCUGAUUGAUUCAGGGGCCUGUCGUUCACCAGUUACAAUGUAGAUAUCGUUUGUUGAUGUUCAUAAAAAUUAUUUGGUAUUUUCCCGUUUGUAUAUAUAAAUUAGACCGUUGGUUUUCAUGUUCGAAUUGUGUACACUUAUAAUUUUGGGGUCCGUUAUAGCUUGCUGUUUGGUCUGGGUCAAAGCCCUGUGUUAAGGGCCUUACUAUGACCUGUAUUUGGUAUUAUCAGGUUGGGAACAAUCCUCCCUCAGACAGGGCACAAAUGGGAUCAUUUUACUGUUGUAGAAAAGAAAUGCCAAGGAUUUGUGUAGUGCUUCUAAACAAAUCAUUUGAAAAACUUAGAAUUUUUUACUUAAAAAGAGGAGAAAUACAUCAUAUUUUAAACAACUAGAGGG
rnacentral:lncRNA from 1 species